rnacentral:rRNA from 1 species
UACGAAGGGGGCUAGCGUUGUUCGGAAUUACUGGGCGUAAAGCGCGCGCAGGCGGUUUUUCAAGUCAGUGGUGAAAGCCCGGAGCUCAACUCCGGAAAUGCCAUUGAAACUGUUAAACUUGAGGAUGAGAGAGGUGAGUGGAAUUCCCAGUGUAGAGGUGAAAUUCGUAGAUAUUGGGAAGAACACCGGUGGCGAAGGCGGCUCACUGGCUCAUUACUGACGCUCAGGCGCGACAGCGUGGGGGAUCAAACAGG